rnacentral:rRNA from 1 species
AGGACGAACGCUGGCGGCGUGCUUAACACAUGCAAGUCGAGCGGAAAGGCCCUUCGGGGUACUCGAGCGGCGAACGGGUGAGUAACACGUGAGCAACCUGCCCUUAGCUCCGGGAUAGCUCCGGGAAACCGGAAUUAAUACCGGAUACGACCACGGCCGACAUCUGCUGUGGUGGAAAGGAUUCCGGCUAAGGAUGGGCUCGCGGCCUAUCAGCUAGUUGGUGGGGUAAUGGCCCACCAAGGCGACGACGGGUAGCCGGCCUGAGAGGGCGACCGGCCACACUGGGACUGAGACACGGCCCAGACUCCUACGGGAGGCAGCAGUGGGGAAUAUUGCGCAAUGGGCGAAAGCCUGACGCAGCGACGCCGCGUGGGGGAUGAAGGCCUUCGGGUUGUAAACCCCUUUCAGCAGGGACGAAGCGAAAGUGACGGUACCUGCAGAAGAAGCGCCGGCUAACUACGCGCCAGCAGCCGC